ACUCCUGCACCUAUUUUCUAUAUUUCGAUAUACAAGUAAUUGCAGAUCUCUUAUGUGCUGCAGAUAAAACAUGGUGACAGAGUACAAUGUCAAGUGUAAAUGCCAUUGCCAUUGACUGCCGGCACUGUUUGCCUGAAAAUCCAUGAAGAAAAAAUGACUGUUUAAUUAUCAUGUGUACUGGCAACAGAACAAUUAAAUUUUUACAUGAUGCAGCUUUAGAAGUCCACUAACGCAAUAACACACACUCAGACACAAAGU